rnacentral:rRNA from 1 species
GAUUGAACGCUGGCGGCAGGCCUAGCACAUGCAAGUCGAGCGGUAGCACAGAGAGCUUGCUCUCGGGUGACGAGCGGCGGACGGGUGAGUAAUGUCUGGGAAACUGCCUGAUGGAGGGGGAUAACUACUGGAAACGGUAGCUAAUACCGCAUAAUGUCGCAAGACCAAAGUGGGGGACCUUCGGGCCUCAUGCCAUCAGAUGUGCCCAGAUGGGAUUAGCUAGUAGGUGGGGUAACGGCUCACCUAGGCGACGAUCCCUAGCUGGUCUGAGAGGAUGACCAGCCACACUGGAACUGAGACACGGUCCAGACUCCUACGGGAGGCAGCAGUGGGGAAUAUUGCACAAUGGGCGCAAGCCUGAUGCAGCCAUGCCGCGUGUGUGAAGAAGGCCUUCGGGUUGUAAAGCACUUUCAGCGGGGAGGAAGGCGUUAAGGUUAAUAACCUUGGCGAUUGACGUUACCCGCAGAAGAAGCACCGGCUAACUCCGUGCCAGCAGCCGCGGUAAUACGGAGGGUGCAAGCGUUAAUCGGAAUUACUGGGCGUAAAGCGCACGCAGGCGGUCUGUCAAGUCGGAUGUGAAAUCCCCGGGCUCAACCUGGGAACUGCAUUCGAAACUGGCAGGCUAGAGUCUUGUAGAGGGGGGUAGAAUUCCAGGUGUAGCGGGUGAAUGCGUAGAAAUUCUGGAGGAAUACCCGGUGGCGAAGGCGGCCCCCUGGACAAAGACUGACGCUCAGGUGCGAAAGCGUGGGGAGCAAACAGGAUUAGAUACCCUGGUAGUCCACGCCGUAAACGAUGUCGAUUUGGAGGUUGUGCCCUUGAGGCGUGGCUUCCGGAGCUAACGCGUUAAAUCGACCGCCUGGGGAGUACGGCCGCAAGGUUAAAACUCAAAUGAAUUGACGGGGGCCCGCACAAGCGGUGGAGCAUGUGGUUUAAUUCGAUGCAACGCGAAGAACCUUACCUGGUCUUGACAUCCACAGAACUUUCCAGAGAUGGAUUGGUGCCUUCGGGAACUGUGAGACAGGUGCUGCAUGGCUGUCGUCAGCUCGUGUUGUGAAAUGUUGGGUUAAGUCCCGCAACGAGCGCAACCCUUAUCCUUUGUUGCCAGCGGUCCGGCCGGGAACUCAAAGGAGACUGCCAGUGAUAAACUGGAGGAAGGUGGGGAUGACGUCAAGUCAUCAUGGCCCUUACGACCAGGGCUACACACGUGCUACAAUGGCAUAUACAAAGAGAAGCGACCUCGCGAGAGCAAGCGGACCUCAUAAAGUAUGUCGUAGUCCGGAUUGGAGUCUGCAACUCGACUCCAUGAAGUCGGAAUCGCUAGUAAUCGUAGAUCAGAAUGCUACGGUGAAUACGUUCCCGGGCCUUG